rnacentral:tRNA from 1 species
ACCUUCGUGGUGUAGUGGUCAGCACGCUCGACGCGUAACCGAGAGGUCCGUGGUUCGAUUCCCUGCGAAGGCG